AAAAAAUAUCAUGGCUUCUCUCAAUAACAGAUCAACAAAGCAUAUCAAGUUUUCAAUUCCACCACAGAGUGGUUUUUGGAGUGGGACAACGUAAAUGGCAUUCCUCUUCUUCUUUGUACAUAAUUCUUCUGGGUUCUUUUUGGGUCUCAAACCCAGAAAUAAGAAUCUAAACCCAAAAGCCAGAUCUAAAGCCCCAAAAGCCAGAUCUAAAGCGAGAGAACCAUUGAGAGCGUUGAGUCAAAGAGAGAUCACCUGUCGGAAUCCCCAUUCAUCAUCUUGUUCUUCUUCCUCUCAUCAUUUUUUUUCCUUCUCACCAUUAGAUUAGACCUGUUACACCACAAUCCAACCUCCCUCUUUUCCCCUUUUCCUAUUUUCCUCUCUUCUUCUUCCUUUUUCUCUCAGUAUCCAAAUCCUAGACAAUUAAAAAAAAUCCCAAAUCUAUCAUCACUCAAGAGAUCUACCAGCGAGUAACCACAGGAUCGAAGUCAGAAGCAUGCGGGGUUGAAAGGGUUAGUGAGUUUCGUACUGGGAAUGAGGAUCGACAAGCCGAAGAGGAGCACUAUACUGGAAUGCAGAUCGACAAGGUGAGCUUGAAUUUUUGGGCAUUUGGGUUUAUGGUUUGUGUUCUAUUUCUGGGUUUGAGUUUUUAAUUCUGGGUUUGUGGGUUUGGCUCGGUCAUGGUCUUAAUUGAUAUUUUUUCUUUACCUUUUUCAUUCAAGGCUAUAGUUUCGGGGUUUUACUUUAGAUUUGGUUGUUGCCUUUGUAUUUUGUUUGUAAUAUAUUUUGAUUUAGGAUCUGUAUAAAGUUUUUGUUCUUGGCAA